rnacentral:misc_RNA from 1 species
GCUUAUAAUGAUUAACAAUCAUAGCAGAAAGUGAUGGAGUUGGAUUAAAUAAACUACAAUUCACCACAAGAAUCCCAAUAUCCUUAGCCUUAACACCAGUUUUCUCUAACAAUUCAUCAAUUGCACCAAACAUAACCAUUUCAGCUUCUUUUCUUGCCUCAGCCAUACAAGGAUUUGGUGGCAAUUUCAAAAGUGCUUCCGGAAAAUACGUCUUUUGACCUAAA